rnacentral:piRNA from 1 species
UACUGAAUGACUGCCUGAUGGAUGGUAAA